UGGCGUCCCCCACCGCCGCUCCCCGAAAAGCGAACGCCAGCCCGCCCCACGGCGCCGGCCCGGGAGCGAGGAGCCGGCCCGCCGCCGGGAGAGCGAGGGGAACUCCGGCGGGCGGCAGAGAGAGGCGCUCCCCGGCGGGCGACGGGGCGAUCCCGCCCGCGAGACCGGAGGGGAAGCGGGCGGGGAGACCCUACUCCGCCGGGGCGCGCAGGCGGCGGAGUGCGGACGCACCGCUAGGCGGAGGAGGGAGGCAGGCAGGCAGCGAAGCGAGGGAGGCACCAGUGCUCGGCCGGAACCUUGUUGCCAGGGGAGACGGGUGCUUUACGGCAGGGCGUUUUGAAUGGCGGCGGGGGAAAAGUUGUGGCUGCAGGUCUAAUCAAGAGGCAAACAGCUGGACGAGUGAUGCUGUUCUGUCACCCUGUGUGGAAUCUGACAUUCUGGGGCUUCCCUUAAUAAUACUUUCUACUUUUUUUUGAUGAGGUGAGGUACAAAGCUCUAUGCUUUAAAAAAUAAAGAGGGAAGAGUGUAGUUUUUUUCACAGAUAAUUAAUUAACAACUGUGUUUGGGCUUAUGUAUUAAAAAUUGAAACAUUACCUUUAAACACUCAUACUACUUGAGUUUUAUUUCAAGCAAUAAAAUAAUUUGGUAAGUUUCCAUUUGUUUGGCUUUGUUAUUUCUUUUCUCUUUUUCUUUUUUUUUUUUUUUCCUUAUCCUUUUAUGAUUCUGUAGAAUUUAUAGUUCCAUGCUGCUGGAGUAUCAUUUUAUCCAGACAAAUUUCCAUGGAAGUGCUUCUGUUAAUGGGAUACUUUAUUAAGUUAUUGAUAUACUACUGAAUUUGGGUAUAUCUCAGCUAUUCUGCAUUGUUUCCACAUGCUAUAUGUUCACACACUGUAACACAGGACCUCGUCUCAUGGAAGCACCUCAUCUCAGAACAUGUUCUAGAAAAUGAACUACUGAACGCUGGCAGUUUGUGGAAGUACCUGGCAGCUGAAGCUUCCGCAGAAGUCAGUACAAGCAGAAAUGCUUAGGCUUUAGGCUGGGCAUUAGCUGGGGGUACUGAACCCCAAAUACAAGGUUUGCUAAGAACCACGACAUGAAACCAGCUGCAAGAUAAAAAAGAAAUGUCAGUGAAAUUUGAGUGGGUGAAUCACAAAAUUUAAGGCAGAAUGUCAGUUUUGUCCUGCUUUAAUAGUUCAACAUCCUUGCCUGUCAAGAUUUUGUACAGAAAAUACCUGUGGCUGUGAAACUGCUUGCAAACAAGGCCUUAAGGUGUUCUGGAAUUCUGGGACAUUUUUAUGAUUUGGUGGAUGAACUUAACCAAAAUAUCAAGUGCAGGUUUUCAUGCCAAUUUUUUACUUAAAAUUAGUCAUGUUUUAGAAGUUAGUUGCAAAAAAUAACAUAUCUGUAAAUAUUUUUGUAGAUUUGUAACAAUAUUCCCCUGCAUGCCCACCCAGAAUUGCAGGCUUCUCUUUAAGUCACUUUGAAGUAGCUUGUUUUCGUUGAGUUUUGUCUCUUCUCACCUCUGGAUAAGAAUUCUUGUCUCUUCAUUGUGAACAAUUUAUGUUUUCCUAACAGAAUGAGGAGAGAAAGAGUCUCCUGGUUUUUUUCAGAUGGCCACAGUGGCUCUUUGAGCAUUAGUCUCUUGAGAUUUCCUAGCAGCUAGGAGAAACUAGUGACAACUCUAGCUGCUUAUUAGUUUUGAAGAGCGGAACUGAAACUGGCAGGAGCAUUGCUUGCUCUACACUGCUAUAGUUUUGAUAAAUGAGAAGAGAAAGCCAAAGCAAUCUUUGUAUUAUGUUAUCUUUGAUAGCAAGGAGGUCCAGAAACUAAAAAGCAGAAGAUAGUGUUUUGCAUCAGGUUACUGAUUACCCCAAUCACUAUUCAUUGUGAAAAUCGUUUCAAUCACAAUCUGUAAAUAGGUAUGUGGACGGGUUGUUUUGGGGUGGGUUGGUUUUUAAACUUUGAUAUAUUUAUUCCAAGCAACUGGGCAGUUCACAUCUUUGUAUACAAAGUUCCCAUUAUUUCCUGUGCUAAAAAGCAUCACAAGGAUGCAGCUGCUGUCAAAGUGCUUUGGCCUAUUACAUUCUUCUAAUCCUGGAUGCAAACCCACUAGUUAAAAUUCCUGCCAUCUUUGUAAUGUUCUGCACUAUAUAAGCACAUUGUGUAUGUAACUUAAACUGGUUUGUGCUGCAAGAACAAAAAUCUUGUUUUUCUUCAUGAUGCACAACUUUCAAUCUGACUUUUCAGUCAAGAAUGCAAAAAUUGGGUAAUGUACUCGUGCAAAAUCUCAGCAAAGCAGUAUAUUUUCUGUAUCCUCCUCAAUGUGGCAGGUUUACUGCUGUACUUCAUCUGUUUGAAAUUUAUUUCUGUUGUCUGAAGACAGGAAUUAAAAUACUUCAGUAGUCACACUGGAGUAUGAAUGCACGAAAACCAGGUAAUGAUUAUUAUAGAUGGGUUUUGCCAUUUUAAAAAGUCAUGUAGUGUUAUGGUUUAUGAUCUUUUGAUAAUGUAUUAUUAAAUUAAAGCAAUCAGCCCUCUUGUAUGUGUACUCCUUAUUCAUGUUUAUGAAAUGAAGUUUCACAUUCUGAGUAUCCUAGAUUUAAUGGUGUCAUUUAGACAAAUGAAUUUAGAAAUACAGUGGAAAACGGCUCACUGAAUUGUUUCUUGUUUCAUUUCUGGUUCGUGGAGUUGGGUUUUUUUCUGAUUUCCACUAGUGAAACUUCAUUUUCACCUGCAUGUAUUUUCUUGGAAUGUCAAUUGUUACAAUUUACUGUUAAAUUGAUGAUUUUUUAAUUUUUUUAUAUAUGCUUUUGCUCUAUAGAAACUGAAGUUGAAAGAUUUACUAGGAGAACAAUGACCCAGAAAUACACAGCUUGACUGCAGCUAGCUGAGGCACUAAUCUUGAAUAAAAUGUGGAUUUUAGAGAUAUCAACAUACGGUUCUAGUUCCAUUCCAGAUGGUCUUUCAAUUUCUAUAUUUGCUUCCAAGUGUAUUGAAUAAGUUUUGAAGGUGCACCCUGGGAUGUUGUACAAUCUCAAAAAAUGGUAAAGCCAUGUGAAAUUAGCACGUUCGCUUAGAGCAGAGUUUGUAAAUAUUUAUCAAGAGAAAUGAUCCCUUUUUCACUUUCCUCAGCUUAUUUUUUUUCUGUUUCUAUGCUUUCCUAUGAAUAUGUUUGUUCAUUUAAAGCUUAAAGCUGAUUCCUGAUAGUCAUCUUGCAGCAGGUACAGACUUGAGAAGGCUGCAUCUGCGUGCAAGCAUGAAGUAUAAGGAUGUAAACCUCCAUAAAGCAUCAAUGUGUACAUAUUUAUAUUUAGAACUGUAAUGACUUGCAUGCACACAAUUGACUUUCAAAAAAUAUUCCUUGUUACAAAAAAAGUGUUUGAGAAGAUCACAAAGGCCUUCAAAACCAUUUUGUUUCUCUUGCUCUCCUUUUGCCCUACUUGUUGCAUAUUGUUUUUCUCUUGAAAGCAAUUAACCUGUGCUGAUACCUAUGUCAGGCUAGUAUGCUGUAUAAACUAAAUGUAUAAAAACAUAAUGAGGACCUACAAUUCCAUUCUUAUGUUAAUUUUAACUUUAGCUGUGAUUUCUGUUUCACAGCUUUCAGACAAGCAAAAAGUGAUUUUAGAGAGGGAAAAAGGUUGAAAACGUCAUUCCACAUUCUUCAUCCAAAAGGCAAAGCUUGUAUGUUCUAAAUGGAAUUGCAAUGCAAAUUUGGAUGCAAGCAUUGGGUUGUGAAUUGUGAUUUUUUUGUUUGCUUCAACAGACCCGGAACUCAGUUGAGAAUGUUAAGUUCAAUAUUUUCUACUAGAUGCAGCAGCAAAAUACUGUUAUCAAAAUACUAUUUUUAGAUUUAAAUUACAUAUGAACUUGUGACUGAUCAAAUUACAGUUGUAGCGCAGUUAGAUUACUCAGUUUUAUUAGUAGCACAUUUUCUGUUCAUCUUUGUUUAUGAUGGUUCUGCAUAAGUGUUCUUAUCCAUUAUAUUAUCUAAUUAAACACUAACGUAUUGUGAAUAUUU